rnacentral:lncRNA from 1 species
GGUAGUCCAGCCUCACAGCUGGAUCUAGGACUCCAUCCACAGGAUUUGCUUCCCUGCUUUGGCCAUUGAUGUGUCAAAGUCAGUGGGAACUGAGUCCAUGGGGAUGACAAAGAGAAAAAGAGGGCAGGGGAAAUCAGUGUAAGUGUGCUCUGAAGCAGCCUCGGCCUCUGAACAACCUCACGGGCUGGAAAACCUCUGCUUGGCAUCUUCCAGAAUUAGUGUGGAUAAUGCAGCACUGGGCACUUCUCUGGGUUAUCUGAGCCUUGCGUGAGAUGCUCCUGGGCAACGGAUUUAGGAAAACCCUGUCAUUUACACCUUAUGGGGAAGCAGAAGCAAUCUCCAUGGCAAUGGGGCUCCCCCAGCCUGGCUCCACCCAGCAGGUAAUUCCCUCGGCGCUGCUGCAGCGUAACCACGGCCCACACUCCAGCCUCUCAUCCGCCACCUCUCCCGCUUCUCCUCCUCCACCCAAGCUUCCCUCCCAGCCCUGCCUUUUGUCUCCUUCACCCACU